rnacentral:rRNA from 1 species
AUUGAACGCUGGCGGCAUGCCUUACACAUGCAAGUCGAACGGUAACGCGGGGCAACCUGGCGACGAGUGGCGAACGGGUGAGUAAUGCAUCGGAACGUGCCCAGUAGUGGGGGAUAGCCCGGCGAAAGCCGGAUUAAGACCGCAUACGACCUAUGGGGGAAAGCGGGGGAUCGAACGACCACGCGCUAUUGGAGCGGCCGAUGGCAGAUUAGGUUGUUGGGGGGGUAAAAGCCUACCAAGCCUGCGAUCUGUAGUUGGUCUGAGAGGACGACCAGCCACACUGGGACUGAGACACGGCCCAGACUCCUACGGGAGGCAGCAGUGGGGAAUUUUGGACAAUGGGCGCAAGCCUGAUCCAGCCAUGCCGCGUGCGGGAAGAAGGCCUUCGGGUUGUAAACCGCUUUUGUCGGGGAAGAAAUCUUCUGGGCUAAUACCUUGGGAGGAUGACGGUACCCGAAGAAUAAGCACCGGCUAACUACGUGCCAGCAGCCGCCGCCG